AUCCCGUAAUGACGUAUCAUUUGAUCGUGAAUUUAUUUAAGAACUAUACGAUAAAUCCUCUCUUUAUCAUACACUAGCAUAGUUCUAGAAACUUCAUCACAGUGCAAGAGUUCAAGGAAGAUGUCACUUUGUGAUGAAAAAUAUCUGAAUAACUAUUGUUCAAUAAUCAAUAAUUCAUAUACAAGGAUGAACUCAAUCGUCGCAUGAUUGGUUUUAGGAUACAAUUCUUAAUAGUUAGAUCCUAUUGUCAGUCAUAUGCAAGAUUGGCUCGAUUCAAAUUUAUUUGUAAAUCCUGUGAAAAUUUUUUUCUAGUAUUCAUUCUUACUU
rnacentral:lncRNA from 1 species